rnacentral:rRNA from 1 species
AAACGACUCUCGGCAACGGAUAUCUAGGCUCUCGCAUCGAUGAAGAACGUAGCGAAAUGCGAUACUUGGUGUGAAUUGCAGAAUCCCACGAAUCAUCGAGUUUUUGAACGCAAGUUGCGCCCGAAGCCAUUCGGCCGAGGGCACGUCUGCCUGGGUGUCACGC